UAAAAUGAUUGCUGGCUAUGUUCUUAAGUGUCUAGAUCUAGGCCUGUGUAGGUUAAAAUGUAGGAACAUACAGUACACAUGCAGCUGUUAAAAUUUAGUUUUCUGACUUUUAUGAUUGAGGACAAAUUUUCACAAGUGGGUUUUCACGUAAAACUUUUGGGGAAAGCCUUAGCUGCUGGUUUCGUGAUGAUUCAGGACAACAGGAUUUUGGCUGAUUUGACAGCCCCCUCCCCCCGCACACGUUAGGCUGGAAUAUAAAAACGAGACAUUAGCUGUCGUGGGAAUCGCUUGGGAACUCGCUCUUGUUUUAAUUCUGCCCUUGCUGUGGGAGUUUGGUCCUUGACAAGUUACUUCAUCCUGGGAGCUGCAGGUUUCUGGUCUGUGAAGUGGAUUGUGAAACUAGUUCAGAGUUGCUGUGAGGAGUCAGGUACGGAAAACGCGGAAGGCAGACACACUUAGUAAACAUAUACAUCGCCCUGCAGCCCUCCGACCGGGCUUCCUGAGGGUCUCGGACUCAGCACCUCCAGCGUAGGGCGGUGGUCGUAGGACGGUGGUCGGCAAAAUACCACGUGCGGGCGCGCACAUUUGCCGAAGUUUUAAACCUGAGUCUCUGGGCUCUAGCUCAGGCCUCUGCAGCCUCCUGGUCUGCUGCCUGGAGGAGGAGGAGCAGGGCGCCCCCGUGGCUGGAGAUGAGUGUUCCCUGCGCUGCUCGUAGGAGGCCGCCUGCACGAGGUGCCAUCAGGGGACCUUUCUGACCGUGACACUUUGUGCAGGAAAUAAGGCUUUCUUUUCUGAUCAAGGAAAUGAGGUGGAAUCACAGGAAAUGGCAGUGGUGUUAAUCUAGAAACUUACCCCAUGUCCAAAGCCUGAGAUGUGUGAAAUACUUGAAGAUGCUGUAUGAGUGAUUUUCAAACGAAAUUGCUUAUGAAUAAAUACAUAAGUUUCUUUGCGA